AGCGUUGUCCGGAUUAUUGGGCGUAAAGCGCGCGCAGGCGGAUUGGUCAGUCUGUCUUAAAAGUUCGGGGCUUAACCCCGUGAUGGGAUGGAAACUGCCAAUCUAGAGUAUCGGAGAGGAAAGUGGAAUUCCUAGUGUAGCGGUGAAAUGCGUAGAUAUUAGGAAGAACACCAGUGGCGAAGGCGACUUUCUGGACGAAAACUGACGCUGAGGCGCGAAAGCCAGGGGAGCGAACGGGAUUAGAUACCCCGGUAGUCCUGGCCGUAAACGAUGGGUACUAGGUGUAGGAGGUAUCGACCCCUUCUGUGCCGGAGUUAACGCAAUAAGUACCCCGCCUGGGGAGUACGACCGCAAGGUUGAAACUCAAAGGAAUUGACGGGGGCCCGCACAAGCGGUGGAGUAUGUGGUUUAAUUCGACGCAACGCGAAGAACCUUACCAGGUCUUGACAUUGAUCGCAAUCUGCAGAAAUGCGGAGUUCUUCUUCGGAAGACGAGAAAACAGGUGGUGCACGGCUGUCGUCAGCUCGUGUCGUG
rnacentral:rRNA from 1 species